rnacentral:rRNA from 1 species
CCUACGGGAGGCAGCAGUGGGGAAUAUUGGACAAUGGGCGCAAGCCUGAUCCAGCAAUGCCGCGUGUGUGAAGAAGGCCUGCGGGUUGUAAAGCACUUUAAGCAGGAAAGUAGGUUUCAAGGCUAAUAUCCUUGAAAAUUGACGUUACCUGCAGAAUAAGCACCGGCUAACUCCGUGCCAGCAGCCGCGGUAAU